UGGGGAAUAUUGCACAAUGGAGGGAACUCUGAUGCAGCAACGCCGCGUGCGGGAUGACGGCCCUCGGGUUGUAAACCGCUUUCAGCCAUGACGAAGCUUUUGUGACGGUAGUGGUAGAAGAAGCACCGGCUAACUACGUGCCAGCAGCCGCGGUGAUACGUAGGGUGCGAGCGUUGUCCGGAAUUAUUGGGCGUAAAGAGCUUGUAGGCGGUUUGUCGCGUCGAUAGUGUAAACACGCAGCUUAACUGUGUGCCUGCUGUCGAUACGGGCUGACUAGAGGAGGGUAGGGGGGAAUGGAAUUCCCGGUGGAGCGGUGGAAUGCGCAGAUAUCGGGAGGAACACCAGUGGCGAAGGCGGUUCUCUGGACCUUUCCUGACGCUGAGAAGCGAGAGCGUGGGUAGAAAACAGG
rnacentral:rRNA from 1 species